rnacentral:rRNA from 1 species
UAAUACGGAGGGUGCAAGCGUUGUUCGGAAUUACUGGGCGUAAAGCGCGUGUAGGCGGCUACCUAAGUCUGGUGUGAAAGCCCGAGGCUCACCCUCGGAAGCGCACUGGAAACUGGGUGGCUAGAGUACCGGAGAGGAGGGUGGAAUUCCUGGUGUAGCGGUGAAAUGCGUAGAUAUCAGGAAGAACACCGGUGGCGAAGGCGGCCCUCUGGACGGAUACUGACGCUGAGACGCGAAAGCGUGGGGAGCAAACAGGAUUAGAUACCCUGGUAGUCCACGCUGUAAACGAUGGGCACUAGGUGUUCAGGGUAUUAACCCCCUGGGUGCCGUCGCUAACGCAUUAAGUGCCCCGCCUGGGGAUUACGGCCGCAAGGUUA